rnacentral:rRNA from 1 species
AACGAACGCUGGCGGCAUGCCUAACACAUGCAAGUCGAACGAGAUCCUUCGGGGUCUAGUGGCGCACGGGUGCGUAACGCGGGGGAAUCUGCCCUUAGGUUCGGAAUAACAGUUAGAAAUGACUGCUAAUACCGGAUGAUGACGUAAAGUCCAAAGAUUUAUCGCCGGAGGAUGAGCCCGCGUAGGAUUAGCUAGUUGGUGUGGUAAAGGCGCACCAAGGCGACGAUCCGUAGCUGGUCUGAGAGGAUGAUCAGCCACACUGGGACUGAGACACGGCCCAGACUCCUACGGGAUGCAGCAGUGGGGAAUAUUGGACUAUCGGCGCAAUCCUGAUCCAGCAAUGCCGCGUGAGUGAUGAAGGCCUUAGGGUUGUAAAGCUCUUUUACCCGAGAUGAUAAUGACAGUAUCGGGAGAAUAAGCCCCGGCUAACUCCGUG